rnacentral:sRNA from 1 species
CUUGGUCAUGAUGUUUGUGUAGGAAGAGAAACCCUGGCUGAGACACUGGCUGAGACUCCGUAUCCUAAGACCUGCAGUAUCUCUAGCAGGACUUCAGUGGUCUUCUUCCUUGCCUUCUCUGCUUUUGAAGCUAUGAGAAAUUCAUCUUGUUACAGGACUCUUCAGACACCUCUGCUGAAAAGUCAGGAGAUGAGCACUCAAGGUCUCACAAAGAAUGUGGGAAAGACAUUUUUGAAAUCUUGUCCAUGUCAGUUGGCCUGUUAAACUUCCUCUGGGAUCAGUCUAUUCAAAGGUAACCAUGGGUUGGCUCUAGGUGCCAAUGGGAGGCAAAAGAAAGCAUCUUUAACUCCAGAAAUGUAUAUUCUUGUUUCUCUGGUGGUAGGAGACUCAGAAAGAUGUAAGUGUUAAGAACCAGAGGGUGAGUGGUUUCUCUCCAGUUUUUGAUCUCCCCGAUUUCUUGCAUAGGUUGGUAGUCCUGAGUGCCCAGGAUUUGGAUCUGGGGAGUGUAUCAAGGGAAAUGACAAGGGAUGAGGGAUGAGUGCUUCCUGUGGUCUGUUGGUGUGUUUAGCAAUCCUUUUCUUGGCUUCCCAGAUCAUAGGGUACUGUGAGUAGCAGUUUUUAGUAAUUGGAUGAAAAUUGGUUCUCUGUAGAGCUAAUCUUGGUGCGUUAUCCUCAGGGUAUUGUUUUUGCAAAUGUCUCAAAACUUAAGCAUAGUUUUUUGGUAUCAAACUUGGUUGGAGGGGAUGUUCCUGUGGGAGGGGGCAAGCUGGAAUAUGAUUUGGAGGCUGAGUAGGAUUCAAAGUUCGGCGAGCAGUGGCCUCCACAAAGGACUUGAUGGUCCAUAGUUUUUGUAAUAGGUUUCUCUCAAUUAGGGGACAGAGGCAGUGUGAAUGACUAAGCAGUGAGAAUAUCCUGUCUCAAGUCUACUAUCUGAGAGGUUAUCCAGGGAGAGGGCAGUCUGUCUAGUUGUCCUUGGACAGUUGUCUGUCAAGAGGUCACUGAUCCAAGAGGCUCUGUUAGGACUAAGUGGGUCCUUCCUGUGUUAAUCAGAAAUUUAGCAAAUUUUCUCCCUACCUUUAAUGUUACUAUGGACUCCCGCAGGCUUACCCCAAUGGAGAAUAGGCAUUUUUAUUUUCCUUUUUGAUUUGGGCACUCUUUCUUUUAGUAACCUUUCUUUCUUACAAUAAGCACAUUGGUCCUUUUCUGGCUUCUUCCUUUCCUGGUGUCCCCAGUUUCCCAUUCUGGGAUCUCUUUUAUUGAUCUCCAUGGAAACCAUCCUACUGCUCAGGCCAACCUUUUUUCUUCUAGAGUUACAGUCCUUGAAAACCCUUUGAGUAAUUUCCAAUAAUUGGAACCUAUUUAUAUACCCUCAAACUAUUUUAACUUUUGAAGUUCCUUUUUAAUGUCUGUAGCCAACUGUAUAACAAAAGCAAUAUUGUUGCUCUCUGGUCUUUUGGUAUUUCUGGGUCUAUAUGGGUAAACAUCUAGUAAACCUCACAGAGGUGCUCCAGGAAUCAAACAGAUUAUUGGAGGUGUUUGUAUAACCUCACUUACCUUAGACAGAUUGAUAGGGCUUGGUGAAAACUGUCCAGAGCCUCAUUACAUAGGUUGCUAUUGGUUUUAGUCAAGUUAGACAGAGAGGAAAAUCUGCUCGCUUUGGGGCUACAUUGUCUAACAGCAAUUCCUUGCCUAGCCCAAAGGUGGCUUUCCUACUCUCAAGCAGGAUCUUGUCCCUUUCUUUGGCUAUGAAGAGGGUGGCCAAGAACUAUUGUCAGUCACAGUUGUGGUCUCCCUAUAGCCAGAGCCUCUCUGCAUGUAUGGAGAAGGGAUGUAAGGUAGAAGAAACUGUCUCCCUCACACAGCACAGCUGGGGGAACCACUUCCCUCUCCCUAGCAUGACCUGGCUGAACCUAGAGUGCCUGGAUUCCCAACAAUAGGGCAUGGGUCUUAAGCUAGGAGAGUGAGUCUUCAACCAAAGACAGCAAUUGGUAAAUAUAGGGGAAACUGGUUGGGAUGAUGGGCAGGGCCUCCAGUCACCACUUUCCAGAUGAUCUGAAGUGGCUGAGGGUAAAGAGAUCCUUCAUUGGACCACCUGACUCCAAGAGGCUAAUCAACUUUCCAUCAGGUCUGGAGUUUCCCAGGUGGGUGAGAACCAGACUUUAUUCAUCCUUGUCCAGAAAACCCACUUUGAAGUGUUUUAACAAGCAUUUCAGUGGUGUCUUGGGACUGCUUACUCCCCCUCCCAUUUUAGAUCUGUUUCUCCAACUAACAGAACUGACAGAAAACACAUAGAGACACAGACAGAUAGACAGACAGACAGACAGUAAAGACAACCUGGGGUACCCACCACACAGACUUAAAACAGGAGUCUGGUGAUGUCUCACAUGGAUCUCAGACAUUGGAAGUAGGGCUGAGUCCAGUCUUUACUGAGUGUUCUAUUCAGAAGGCACAACAAACAGACUUACCUCUGGAGGCAACAGAUUCAGGCAAUUUUCUGUAUUUCCCCAUUCUAGGAUAGGGGCAUCAGGAGCUUCUGAUGUGGUAGGACCAGAGGUGGGAAAAGUUUGGGGGGGGGGUUGGAAUAUCUCAGGGUGUACUCCCCCUAGAAUCUGACCAUUUUCUCCUAUCACCCCAGAAGAGAUCUGAUACUCAGUCUUUGGGAAUCUUUCUGGGGCCUCCAGAACAUCUCGAGGUUAGACCACCACACAGACACUCUUAAAGCUGAAAAGAAAGUCUUUAUUGCUGGCCAGCAGCUGCACAGGGAACUUGCUCAAUCACGUAGCCCUGAGCCUCACAGCUCUUUGUCUUAUAUGUACAGAAGCGACAUCCUGCUGACCACACUUCAGUUGGCAAGCACAGCUAGCAAGAAGCAGAACUAUAGAAGCCAAGAAGCAAGGUCCGUGCACUUAGUACAUUAGUUUCCUGGAACUACACUCUAGGUCUUUGUCCCUAUUUUGUCAGGUGUUAGGGCCUACGUGCUGGGGUCUAAGGUCAGAUGGUGCCUCUAACAUGGCGUCAGUUGUGCUAAGGUCUAAGGGCCUUUUACAGUAAAGAAUCUCCACUUUCAGAAAAUAUACAUUCCAGUGCUCAGAAAUGAAAUGACAUUUUAUACGUAUAUGUAUAUUUCAAAAGGUCCAGGAAAAACAAUAUGCGUAUAGAUAUAGACAGAACAUAUUCAAAUGAAAUGAUGGCAUAUUAACAGCAUGUGUCUAGGCAAACGGGGGACCUUCAUGUUGUUUGAAGAAUCCUCAUCUCUCCAGGGGGCUGGAGAGAAGGCUAGUAGGUCAGAGCACUCGCUCUUCUAGAGAACCUGAGUUCAGUUCCCAGUGGCUACAUUAGGCUGCUCACAAUUUCUAGGCACUCCGAUACCCUCAGGCCCCCUCAGACACACGGCAUACAUCUACACAUACAUAAAAAAAAUAAAACUUUAAAGAAUAUUGUCAAUCCAAACUGUCACUAAGUCCCCAUAAUAAUGGGCGUGGAGUUCGGGGCAUUCAGCUUGGAAGUCUGGAUACUCCAAGCCCAGUUAAAAUGUGGGGCACUGGUACAUUCCUCUCAAUAAACAGACCUUGACAAGGAAAAAAAAUGUGGGGCACCCAGUGAGGAGAACAGUGAUCUGUGCGGUGAAUUUGUCUGCUACUUUCUACACUUCACCUACUGUCUUCCCGGCUCGCCGCGGUGACCUCCAUGCUAGUGAUGCACGGGUUAGUGAUGGGAUACAUGUAUGUGCUUUUGGUGACGUCCAGAUGGGCCCUGAAGGAGCAAUGUCACUACUGUGGUCUAAUAACAGGAACCCUGCAGUAAGCCUCAUCACUGCUGAAAGGUCACAUGAGCUUGGUAAUUACCCUUCCACCCUGCCCUUCGCAAACACAGGGCAAGAAGCCAGGCUUCAUGGCUGUGGCCGAUAAACAGCAAAACCAAAAUGGUUUGUUUAAUUCCAGUUAGAACAUUGCCUGCUAUGACUUCCCAGGACCCACGGGCCACAGGCCUCAGAGGAACUGUUUAUUUUCUCUGAAAACCCCAAACCUAUCAACGUUUGAUGGAAACGCAGAUCUCGUUCGCUCAGCAGGUUGGAACAGGACCUGAGGCCAACAUGGGCUUUGAAGAAAACUCCUGGUAAGACAGUGUGAUGCAGUGAGGCCGUCUCAGAAAAGGUUAAAAAAAAAAAAAAAAAAAAAAGAAAAGCAACCUUUGAUUGUACUCAUAUUGUUUGUUUGAUACCAUGGAAACACAGGUGAUUAAAAAAAAAAAAACGAUAAAAAAGUGCCAGGGACGAGAUCAAAGGGCAGCUAGGGCAUUUUCUUCACUGUCUGGAUAAUGUCAAAACAUUUCUUUUAUGUGCAUGAAUAUUUUCCUUGCAGGUUCCUGUCUGUGUAUCACGUGUGCACGGUGCCUGAAGAGGCCAGGAAGAGGUGUCAUACCCCCUGGAACUGGAGUUACAGAGGGUUGUGAGCCACCACGUGGGUGCUGGGAAUGGAGCCCGGGCCCUCUGUGGGAGCAGCCAGUGCUCUCAACCACUGAGCCCCCUCUCAAGCCCCAUUCUGCAUAUCAGUACUGUUUCUUCUCUGUGCAUGUAUGUUUCCUUUUUCUAAUAGACACCCAGAGGUAGAAUUAUUGGUUUCCCUGCAGUAAGUGCUCUUAAUCGCUAAGCUAUUUAUCCAGUCCCCUCAAAAAAUGUUUAAACUUAAGCAAAGUUCAUAUCAUUGGGAGGGGGCAUACAGAUAUGGAGAUGCAACACAAUAUAAAUACAAUGUAAUAAGCAGAACUCAGUAAUUAGAGCCCACACAUGAACCAGAGGCAGGAAGUCCCAGUCUGUUACCUCGAAUACCGUGAGGAAGCUGGCAUCUACCCAACUACCCAGCAGGGAGCUGCCCAGCCUUCAGCCUUUCCUGUGGUCUCCACCUGAUGGAAACACCUGAAAGUUUUCCCUUCCAGAAUCUGGCCUUUGAAAUGAUUAUGACCAUACAAAUGUGCCCAAACUGGCUUGGAGAGAUGGAUCCUCCUUUAUGGUCCAGAGACUGGAGUGAAGAUCCCAAGAUUCCACGGAAAAACAGGGCAGGUAUUGUGAUGGCCUACAAUUCCAGCACUCAGGAGGUAGAAAUAAGAGAUUCCCCUAAUAAGUUAGGCUAGCCAGAAUCAGCAAGGUAAAACUGGUGAAACUCUGGGUUUGGUGACAGCCUCAAUAUGGUGGAAAUUGAUUACUAUAUCAGGACUUCAUAUGCAUGCCCAUAUAAGUGUAAACAAACUUGUACACACACACACACACACACACACACACACACACACAGCCUCACAUAUCUAAUUUACAGCAUAUAAAUCCACAUCAGACUGCAGAAAAUGGGCAAAGUUCUAGAUGGGUCACAUGAUGGACUCUGCUAGAAGUGAUCAUCCCCCCAGCUACCGCCACGGCUGGGUGAGUGAAGACUAAACUGACCAUAAUGAUCUGGAGCCUUCACGUCUUAUCAUGUCUUUACCCACAUAUGGAGGGCUAGCAAGGCAUGUAGCCCCACACUCACGGACAGACAGGAGGCAAUGGUGUGCUUGCUUUGCAGGAGGGUGGUCUGACCUGCAGAUGUCUCUCCUGCCUCAACUCCAGCAGCAGAGAGCAGCUUUAGUACUGUGCAGUUACCCUGUAACUUAAUGGCAAACAAAGCUGGCGGCAGGAAUCAGAACACCGAGUCCGAAGAUCAGGAAGGUCAGAGGGUGGCGGGCUCGAUGGUUGUUUUCAGCUUGACUUCAGAAUGGAGUGAGGUGAAAGGAGGCGACGUCUUCCUCCACGCAGUAGUGUUUCUCAUACUGAUGCACAUCACGGUGUCUCACGACACACAGGUGCUGAUGUUGGAGACGGAAGCUGCACCUAACUCAGACGCAUGGACGUGCCCCAUAAACAGUACAGAGAGAGACAGCAGUGCAGCCUGGAUAGAGAAACACCGCUGCACUGGGACCUGUGCUCCUUUAGCUCCAGAGUAAGCACACUUAGAAAUACAUACACAGAUCUGCUUCGCUGACACGCUACAUUUAAACUCCAUGAUAGAUUGCACUAAGAUGUCUAACCUUGCUAUUUUAAUAAUACAUAGAAAACACAUCCGUAAACCCAGUGAAGUCAUCUUUAUUGCAUAUUGCUAUUUAAAAAAAUGUACAGUCUCAUAGCACACACGACACCUUUUUUUCCCUUGGUUCUGUAACAACAGUCUUGCAUCUAAAGACUAAAUGGGUCCAACUACUAAGCUAGUAAGAUACGAGACAUUGAUUAAGUUUAGAAAUUAUAAUGCUUUUCUUUUUUUGGCAUUAUUUAAAAAAAUCUUUAAAAUACAUACUCAAGAGAGAAAAGUGACUACUUACACCAGCACCAGUCUAAAAAGUCCAUUUUUUUUUUUUUGUAACAAUGGCACAUGAAGUUACCUGCACAGUCUUUAGGAAAAUAAACCGGAAGCUGGGAAGGGCAAAGGUGGCCUACCAGGAGGGCUACAUGGAAGUGAGGAGGAUUCUAAGAAAGGCAAGGGGACAUGCGACACAGACUUGCUCUCUGGUGUGAGUCUCUUUCCACAGUUCCAAAACUGAGCUGGACCAAACUUUUCCUGCUAUCAAUAGAAAAGAAUAUACAAAGAGGCACUUUAGAUCAGGAACAGUGAAAUCCAUCACUCCACCCCGCUCCUCCUCCCCAGGCUGGCCCGAGCCAGGUCUGCAUCGGCACCACUGCCAGGAUGCUUGCAGACUGGGGUUAGCUCGGGGCUGGGAGAGUCAGCUCUGCUUUGCACCUGUGACUGCCUUAGUGAAGAGCUAUUUGCUUCUACAUAAUGGGUAGAAAAGUUGCUAAGUAUGUGAUGAAGAAAAACAAAAAAUGUAAAAACCACAGCUCUUGACAAUUCUUAGAGCACUGUUUCACAGCUUUCACACAGCACAGAUCCCUUGCCAUCUGCACUAAACAAUAUAGUCCAUAGAGAUUAUUUUUUAAAUAGUAUGGUUCCUGUGUACUAUGCACACUGGUAUUCUACCGUCCCUGAAAACCCCAUUUAGAGUGAGAAUUCAUUGGUGGGCAGGGACUCUGUCUUGCUUACUACCACUAUAGCUCUACUAUGCCCGGUACAUAGUAAGUGCUUAAUAAACAGUUGAUACUUUACUGAAAACCUCAGUUUAGUGAGUAAAUAAUAUUGUAGUGCAAUAGGGAAAACUACUCUCUCCACAGGAAACCCAGCCACAGAAGGACAGAAGGAGAACAAAGAGAAAACGCUAGUCCCUCCCCACACCCUGGUACAAAUAAAUAAAGCAAAAGAAAAGUAGUAACAGUCCUCUUUACAUACCACAUAAGUUAAGGAUACUAGGAGUUGGCAGGCCAGUGGUAAGCGUCCAUAUUUUAUUUUCUACUGCUCAUUGUUUUUUUUUUUUUGUUUUUUUUUUUUUUUAUCAUUUCUCCCUGAGAGCUUUAUUUUUUGGACUGAAAUUGUACAGGUAGCGUCACUGACACACAAUUUAAAAUGACAACACGUAACAGCGAUCACUUCAAAUAUUUUUGAGAUAAAUAGAUCUGAGCAUCCCUGUAGAUACUGUUGACAUUUCGUGUCCAUAUGAAUGCCCUUUAUCCCAGGACAUGCAGCUCGGCCUAUACAGAAAACAGAAGACACCCCAUAAAGCACCCCUAUGCCUUUAAGAACACUCUUCAGGGUUCUUCCACUAAGUCUCGGUGGGAAAUUUCAUUUGUCAGGUCUACAGAACUGUAUUGUUAGGUCAGUGAGGAGGCUCUGGCAAUUCUGGCCCUAACCCAGGAUCCAGGAGGCAUCAUUUAGAAAGUGUGUUUCCAAAAAAA